AGAUUCGUAUGAAACCUGAAAGGGCAUGUAGCAUUAUCAUGUCUUGUGCAAUUCUGCACAAUAUAGCUUUGUGGAUGAAUGAGCCUAAACUGCCAGAAGAUCAAGAAGAGGAGAUGCCUAAUGUAGAUGCAGUGUACAAAGGAGCCAAUGAUGGAAGGAAAAUUAGGGGUCACAUCACUCAGAUGUACUUCACCAAUUAAAUUCACACAUUAAAUUCUUUG
rnacentral:lncRNA from 1 species